rnacentral:tRNA from 3 species
GCGGGAUUAGUUGAGCGGUUCAACAUUCGCUUUCCAAGCGAAAGAGAGGGGUUCGACUCCCCUAUCCCGCU